ACCUCGGAUCAGGUAGGGAUACCCGCUGAACUUAAGCAUAUCAAUAAGCGGAGGAAAAGAAACCAACAGGGAUUACCUCAGUAACGGCGAGUGAAGCGGUAACAGCUCAAAUUUGAAAGCUGGCUCUUUUAGGGUCCGCGUUGUAAUUUGUAGAAGAUGCUUCGGGUGUGGCCCCGGUCUAAGUUCCUUGGAACAGGACGUCAUAGAGGGUGAGAAUCCCGUAUGUGACUGGGUGCUUUCGCUCAUGUGAAGCUCUUUCGACGAGUCGAGUUGUUUGGGAAUGCAGCUCAAAAUGGGUGGUAAAUUUCAUCUAAAGCUAAAUAUUGGCCAGAGACCGAUAGCGCACAAGUAGAGUGAUCGAAAGAUGAAAAGCACUUUGGAAAGAGAGUUAAACAGUACGUGAAAUUGUUGAAAGGGAAGCGCUUGCAACCAGACUUGCGCGCUGAUGAUCAUCCGGGCUUCUGCCCGGUGCACUCGUCUGCGCUCAGGCCAGCAUCGGUUUCGGUGGUGGGAUAAAGGCCUUGGGAAUGUGGCUCCUCUCGGGGAGUGUUAUAGCCCUCGGUGCAAUGCCGCCAACCNGGACCG
rnacentral:rRNA from 1 species